UACUCCCAACACCCACAAUUUUUUACCCCAAGAAUACAUAGCUAACUAAAUAACUUGCUACAUUUGCAGUUGUUUAAUUAUGCCUUUGUUUUAAGCAAGUUAAUGGACUAUAGUAAAUUGUUUCUAUUUCUGUUGCUUCCCUUAUUUUCAGUGAGUCCUGUGCUGGUGAAAAUUAGCUUGACAGCAGUGAGGAAAUAGAUUCUGGUAGAUCACCACAAAGGAAGUGACACAGUGGGCAGCAUCAAUGCCAGCUUUCUCCUCACAUGGAUUUCUUUGGAUAAAGUACUUCUAGGGGACAAAAUAUCAAUCAGCAAGUAUUUAAGUGUCUACAAUGUGUCAGCAUGGCUAAAAGAAACUAAAGCAGGACAUCCUGAAGAGGAGUCAUAAGGUCAAGCCAUAAUUUCUUAUAGCUACUCUGCCCCAAGAGCUUCCAGCAGUUUGCUCCAAUAAUGACUGGGGGAAAAGAAGCUCAAGAUAAAUCCAGACUAUAAAAAAAGUACCAAAAUACCUACAAGCAAAGCCUUGAAGAAAAAGUUGCCUCAACAUCAGUUAGAAUUCCGAGAAGAAAAUGAUGUAAGAAUUAAAAAAUGCUAUUAUACGUGAAAUGAGAGUGAUAGAAUUGGGGGUUGGGGGAGAGGGAAAGGCUUGAAAAAAAUUAAUAUCUUUGCGCAAGAAAUAUGAAACCUGUCCCAAGUAACAGACUGAAAAUUAGAAUGGACUAAAUAAAAGUUAAAAUUCAGUGAGAAAACAAAUCAAAUUUAAAAAUUCAAGAAAAUGUAACAUCAAAAAGGGAAAAUGGGUCAGAGAAAAUAGUAUAAAAGUCAUUGGUCUCUUUGGAAUCCCAUGACCAAAAAGAGAGAGACUAAAUCACAUGUAUUUCAAAAAAUAUAUAUAAAAGAAAAUUUGCCUUAGUUAACUGUUAAACUAGAAGGCAAGGUGAAAAUAGAAAGAAUCCACUGAUUACCUCCUGAAACUCUAAAAUAAAGAUUAAGGCAAAAAAUCCAGAGCUUCUGAGUAAAAGAAAAGGAAUGCUGCAAGGUUAACUACUCACAUACUAGUUAAGAUCCUGUAAGAUAUAGCAGGCAUUAAAGUUCUUAAAGAGUGAAGAAUACAGAAUGUGAUAUUCCAGAAGGCAAAGGCUUAUUAGAGUUUAUCAAUAAAACAGUAUAAUUUUGUAGGGGAAAAAGAUCCUUGGUGAAACAGACAUCAAAUACUAGAGAAUUGAAAUACAAACAUGAGUAAAAGAAAGCAUAAAAAGGUUUACUUACAAGUGAGUGAUUGGAAAAAGACAAUGGGGGAAGGGAGGGUGAUACAAACUUCUAACAACUUACUGCCAGCUGGGUUCAGAAAGUUAAAAAAGAAGGCGGUCCUGAGAAUGGUCUAUUCAUUUAUUUGAUCUUAAAAGGAAAAAGGGAGAGGGGAGAUAAAGAAAAAGGAAUUGGAUAGGUAUAUUUAAUUUACAUUACAAAUCUGCCACCAGUGCACUGGGAACAAAUGUCACUUGAACACUGUUUCAAAUUGAUCAAGAAUGAAGUGACUGACCACAACAUACAUUAUACCAACAAUACUGUUUAAAAAAAAAAAAAAAAAAAAA